UACGGAGGGUGCGAGCGUUGUCCGGAAUCAUUGGGCGUAAAGGGCGCGUAGGUGGCCCGGUCAGUUCGUGGUGAAAGCGCGGGGCUCAACCCUGCGUCGGCCAUGAAUACUGCCGCGGCUGGAGCACUGUAGAGGCAGGCGGAAUUCCGGGUGUAGCGGUGGAAUGCGUAGAGAUCCGGAAGAACACCGGUGGCGAAGGCGGCCUUCUGGACGGUGACUGACGCUGAGGCGCGAAGGCCAGGGGAGCAAACGGG
rnacentral:rRNA from 1 species